ensembl:lncRNA
GGCACAGUGCUGAUUAAAAAAAAAAACAACAUCCUUGGCUACAGGAGGUUCUCAUGAGUGCCCAGUGGCCACAGGUGUUCUCCAGCCUGCUAAGCAGGUUUUAAAUGGGAGGAAAAGAUGCAGCUAAAUUACUUGUAUUCCCCCCAGUGGGAGGAAGCUGACCUGUGGAGGAGGAGUGUCCAGUACCGUGAGCACCAUCUUCUCAGCAGAGCGCUUUCCACCAAACUCACCUCCCCCACCUCAGGGCCCUGAGCCAGGAGGAGAGCUGACACUUUGCAGUCAUCUCCUGCCAUGUGGGUUUGAACACUGUAAGAGCAGAGCUGACAGCCCCAGGGAGCCUGAAGUUGUUCAUGAGGAUAUCUUUUACAGAUCACCUUGUUUCCUGUGCCAAAUCAGCACUGACAUGAACCAAAGUGACUUGCUGAUGGGAAGCUACCUGCUGCUGAUCCCUGAGGGAGAAGAGGAGUUGGCAUAUCCUGUAGGAAAGCAGCACAUCAAAAGAGAAAAGAGUACAUUCAUGCAUACAUGGGAGAUGACUACCUUGAGUUCCCAGGGUUGCACUGCUGGCUGCAAACCUUUCAUAGCUGGGACAGACUUUUUGCUGUUCUGACUACAGCAGCGUAGUGGGCUUUUACUUCUAACUGAGGCAGAGAGGCACACUGAAACACGAGUCGUGUCAGAAAACAGACUGUCUAGCUGACCUCCGAAGUAAUAUCAUUUAACAGCAUCAACAAAUGGACUGACAAACUGCUGGAAAAA